rfam:Jaapia argillacea MTCL 33604 unplaced genomic scaffold JAAARscaffold_18, whole genome shotgun sequence.
GGCAAUAUGGCCGAGCGGUCCAUGGCGUGUGACUCAAGCGAAAGCUUGCCAGAUAUCUGGUUUCUCAUCCUCGUAUGAGGGCGUGGGUUCGAAUCCCACUGUUGUCA